rnacentral:lncRNA from 1 species
GGUGGUAGUGGCAAAGGAUGAAGUGGCAGAGGAUCGUAUGAUGGGCGGUCCAGGUCCAAGUCGAGAGACUUCAGCAAGAUUAGAUGUUAUCGGUAUACUGAGUUGGAGCAUUGAAUCAGAGAUUAUCCACAGUUCAAAAUCGAACAAAGGCUACUAUGAUGGUGGUCCAUGGUAGCGACACUGAUGAGACUGAUUAUGUGCUUAUAGUCUCUGAUGAGGUAUCUAUUUUUUCUCUUCAGUGCAUUUUAGAUUUGACUUGUUUAUAUCAUGUUUGUUGAAGAGAGGAGCUGUUUGACUCUCUGCAGAGUAGUGAGAACACUAGUCAUUUGCUGGCCAAGGGCAUUAGGAUAGUCAGCUUAUAAACAUAUGAUGGAGCAGUGAGAAAAUUGAGCAAGAUCUGAUAUAUGCCCAAUUUCAGGAGUAAUUUGAUUUCACUAAGC